rnacentral:lncRNA from 1 species
UUGAAAAGGGUUUGAAAAGUUUCGCCCUACCUGUGCAAUUUUAAAGGUAGCCGUCAACGCUAACGCUUAUUCUAGCUAGCUAAGUAACUAGCUGUUAGUUAGCCUCAGGUAGCGGCCUAGCGAUGGAACUGUUGUUUUUGGUUAGUUCAACACAAGUUCCACCCUUUUUAAUCUUUCUUUAACAUUUUUCUUUUACUAUGUAAGCUUUGAUAAACAUAAGCAAAGAUCCUAGUAGCCAAAUGCAGCUGAAUAGCUGAGUGGGAAAUUUUGACAGUUUAUUUGGUCUGUAGAAAACCCAUAAGAGAUUGUUUUACAGUUUGAGCUACUGUAAUCUAUCUCUAUGGCUCAAAAGCAGAAAAUAGUUCACCUCAGCUAUUCUUCAAACUGCAUGUUUUAACUCAAAUCAUUACUUCUUUAUUAACAUAUGACUUCAACUCUUAUACUUACUAACAGUUUGAUAACACUCUUCAAGAAGCAGAAGCAAAACCUGCACUGUUAUGUUGUUGGUGGAACAAAGAAAAAAUAAUUGUAAAUUUGUAAUAUUUGUAGGCCUGUUUAAUCCCUGUGUGUAAGCAUUUCUCCUGGAGUGAAAAUGAACUUCAAACGUAAAAUAUUUUAGUUCAUAGUUUUCAGGAUCUUGAGCUUUUGGAUUUGAGCUUAGUAGUGCAUGCAUGCUAAACACUGUACAAGUAAAAAACACAAUAGCUAGUGUUGUAAGAGCGAUGCAGAACAGCACAAAUGUUAUGGUAGAGCAUAGACAAGUGUUUUACACCACUAACAUUGUGACAGGACAGAUAUUGCUGGAGACAGUCGUUUUUUUCAGUGUAUUAAAGUUUUGCCUUUGUGUAUUUCAGAUGACCUUACGUGAUUCAAAGCCAGUUGUGCUAAUAAACAGCAACUGCUCUUGUGUGGCUGGUUGUGAAAUCUGCAACCACUUGGUUGCAUUGCUUUUCCAGAUGGCUCGUUAUUCUGAAUGCGGCAUGACGUCGGCCCUCCUGUCCUUUCAUGCACACAGACAGAGAAAGUGGCAUAAACCACGAACAAUAGGGGUGAAGCCUGGUCCCGUGGAUGCGAUGGUUGUCCUGAAGCCCAAACCA